GGGCAAGGUAACGCCGCUCUCGGCGGGGCGCCACAGGCCCCUUCCGCGCAAGGGUCGCCGCCCGGUCGAGGAGAGAUGCGCGCCGCACCUGCCCCGUUCGCGGGGCCGGGGAAGCCGUUCGAGCAGCGUCGUGUCGCGGUCCGGGACUGUCCUCAGUCCCGGGUCGUCUCGGCGCGGUUCCGAGCGGUCGCUCCCUCGCGAGGUGCCGCGGGUCAGCGGCUGACGCCAGCCACCUUCCCGACCCGUCUUGAAACACGGACCAAGGAGUCUAACAUGUGCGCGAGCCGCGGGGCAGUACGUUUUUUCGUAAGGCGAAAUGAAGGUGAACGCCGGCGCGGUCCGGCGGAGGUUGGAUCCCGUCCCGUCGGGGCGGGCGCACUACCGGCCGAUCUUCUCCGCCCUGUCGGCGAGGUCGAGCGAGAGCGUGCAAGUCGGGACCCGAAAGAUGGUGAACUAUGCCUGAGGAGGUUGAAGCCAGAGGAAACUCUGGUGGAGGACCGUAGCGAUUCUGACGUGCAAAUCGAUCGUCAAAUUUGGGUAUAGGGGCGAAAGACUAAUCGAACCGUCUAGUAGCUGGUUCCCUUCGAAGUUUCCCUCAGGAUAGCUGGCGCUCUGUCGCAGUUUUAUCUGGUAAAGCGAAUGAUUAGAGGUCUUGGGGGCGAAACGCCCUCAACCUAUUCUCAAACUUUAAAUUGGUAAGAAGCC
rnacentral:ncRNA from 1 species